ACACGAUAAUUGAUAGUUACGGUUUUGUGCUGAUGGGUAUCCUUGAAGAGAACAUACACAAUCAAAUUUAGAUCAAAGAGGAAGGGGUUAUGUGCUCCCCUAAAAAAAAUCGUUCUAUAUAAUUGUCAAAAAAAAAAAAAACAUCAAAUGUUUAAUUGUUUAUAUUAGUUAGGUAGUAUAUUUUAUCUUUUUUCAUAGCAAAACAACUACCCCUGGUACAGAG